UACGAAGGGGGCUAGCGUUGCUCGGAAUCACUGGGCGUAAAGCGCACGUAGGCGGAUUGUUAAGUCAGGGGUGAAAUCCUGGAGCUCAACUCCAGAACUGCCUUUGAUACUGGCGAUCUUGAGUCCGAUAGAGGUGGGUGGAAUUCCUAGUGUAGAGGUGAAAUUCGUAGAUAUUAGGAAGAACACCGGUGGCGAAGGCGGCCCACUGGAUCGGUACUGACGCUGAGGUGCGAAAGCGUGGGGAGCAAACAGG
rnacentral:rRNA from 1 species